rnacentral:rRNA from 1 species
UACGGAGGGAGCUAGCGUUGUUCGGAAUUACUGGGCGUAAAGCGCACGUAGGCGGCUUUGUAAGUUAGAGGUGAAAGCCCGGGGCUCAACUCCGGAACUGCCUUUAAGACUGCAUCGCUUGAAUCCAGGAGAGGUGAGUGGAAUUCCGAGUGUAGAGGUGAAAUUCGUAGAUAUUCGGAAGAACGCCAGUGGCGAAGGCGGCUCACUGGCCCGGUACUGACGCUGAGGUGCGAAAGCGUGGGGAGCAAACAGG